rnacentral:rRNA from 1 species
UACGUAGGGUGCAAGCGUUGUCCGGAAUUAUUGGGCGUAAAGAGCUCGUAGGCGGUCUGUCGCGUCGGCUGUGAAAACUCGGGGCUUAACUCCGGGCCUGCAGUGGGUACGGGCAGACUAGAGUGCGGUAGGGGAGACUGGAAUUCCUGGUGUAGCGGUGAAAUGCGCAGAUAUCAGGAGGAACACCGGUGGCGAAGGCGGGUCUCUGGGCCGUAACUGACGCUGAGGAGCGAAAGCGUGGGGGAGCAAACAGG